rnacentral:misc_RNA from 1 species
UCUCCGUUGGUGAACCAGCGGAGGGAUCAUUACCGAGUUAUUAUACUCCCAAACCCCUGUGAGCUUAUACCUUUACUGUUGCUUCGGCGGGUGAACGCCCCGGAAGGCCCGCGAGGGCCGCCGGAACCAAGCGGCCGCCGGGGGACCCCAACUCUUGUAUCUUUUUUAGCGCAUGUCUGAGUGGAAUCAUAAACAAAUGAAUCAAAACUUUCAACAACGGAUCUCUUGGUUCUG